UGGGGAAUUUUGGACAAUGGGCGAAAGCCUGAUCCAGCAAUGCCGCGUGUGUGAAGAAGGCCUUCGGGUUGUAAAGCACUUUUGUCCGGAAAGAAAUCCUUGGCUCUAAUACAGUCGGGGGAUGACGGUACCGGAAGAAUAAGCACCGGCUAACUACGUGCCAGCAGCCGCGGUAAUACGUAGGGUGCAAGCGUUAAUCGGAAUUACUGGGCGUAAAGCGUGCGCAGGCGGUUUGCUAAGACCGAUGUGAGAUCCCCGGGCUCAACCUGGGAACUGCAUUGGUGACUGGCAGGCUAGAGUAUGGCAGAGGGGGGUAGAAUUCCACGUGUAGCAGUGAAAUGCGUAGAGAUGUGGAGGAAUACCGAUGGCGAAGGCAGCCCCCUGGGCCAAUACUGACGCUCAUGCACGAAAAGCGUGGGGAGCAAAACAGGAUUAGAUACCCUGGUAGUCCACGCCCUAAAACGAUGUCAACUAGUUGUUGGGGAUUCAUUUCCUUAGUAACGUAGCUAACGCGUGAAGUUGACCGCCUGGGGAGUACGUCGCAAGAUUAAAACUUAAAUGAAUUGACGGGGUCAUAGCUGUUUCCU
rnacentral:rRNA from 1 species